rnacentral:misc_RNA from 1 species
GAUGAAGAACGUAGCGAAAUGCGAUAAGUAAUGUGAAUUGCAGAAUUCAGUGAAUCAUCGAAUCUUUGAACGCACAUUGCGCCCGCCAGUAUUCUGGCGGGCAUGCCUGUUCGAGCGUCAUUUCAACCCUCAAGCCCCCGGGCUUGGUGUUGGGGAUCGGCGUGCCCUCGCGGCGCGCCGUCCCCUAAAUCUAGUGGCGGUCUCGCUGUAGCUUCCUCUGCGUAGUAGCAACACUCGCACUGGAUCGCAGCGCGGCCACGCCGUUAAUCCCCCCACUUCUGAAAGUUUGACCUCGGAUCAGGUAGGAAUACCCGCUGAACUUAAGCAUAUCAUAAGCGGAGGA